rnacentral:rRNA from 1 species
UACGAAGGGGGCUAGCGUUGUUCGGAAUUACUGGGCGUAAAGGGCGCGUAGGCGGCCGUUUAAGUUAGGUGUGAAAGUCCUGGGCUCAACCUGGGGACAGCACUUAAUACUGGAUGGCUUGAAUUCGGGAGAGGAUAGCGGAAUUCCCAGUGUAGAGGUGAAAUUCGUAGAUAUUGGGAAGAACACCGGUGGCGAAGGCGGCUAUCUGGACCGACAUUGACGCUGAGGCGCGAAAGCGUGGGGAGCAAACAGG